rnacentral:rRNA from 1 species
AAAAACAUGUCUUUUUGAUUAUAAUUUAAAGUCUGACCUGCCCAAUGAUUAUUUUAAAUGGCUGCAGUAUUUUGACUGUACAAAGGUAGCAUAAUCAUUAGUUUCUUAAUUGGGAGCUGGAAUGAACGGUUUGAUGAAAAAUUAACUGUYUCUAUUUAAUUGAAUUAGAAUUUUAUUUUUAAGUGAAAAAGCUUAAGUUUUUUAUAAAGACGAGAAGACCCUAUAGAGUUUUAUAUUUUUAUAAUUUUUGAUUUUAUGUUUUUAUUUUUAAUUAUUAUUAAAAAUAUUUUGUUGGGGUGACAGAAAAAUUUAAUUAACUUUUUUUAAUUUUUACACUAAUUGGUGAAUCUAUGAUCCUUUAUUAGAUUAAAAGAUUAAAUUACCUUAGGGAUAACAGCGUAAUUUUUUUUGAAAGUUCUUAUUGAUAAAAAAGUUUGCGACCUCGAUGUUGGAUUAAAAUUUGUUUUUGGUGCAGAAGCUUUAAAACUAGGUCUGUUCGACCUUUAA